GUUGUGCUGGUGCUGGAAGAUUAUAGACUUUGUGGACACUGAACAUAGAUCAGAAGCUUUCUGGAGCAUAUUUCUCUCAAAACCAAAGAAAACCACUGCAGGCAAUGCUUUUUAGCAGUGUUUCAACAGCAUAGACCAGAGUUAUCUGUUUAUGGGGAAGACAGAGGAUCUGAACAGGGCACUGUGAAAUGGUGCUAAGAGAUAGAAGGUGUGAGAAGCAAAAGAAACAUUGGAAAAAUGUACACUGGGAGCAUGAAGUGAGAAGAAAAGUUUGUGACAUGCUUUUACUCCUCUCAAAGUGGAAAUACUACUACUAAAUUAAUGGUCUUCUACAGUAGACACCUUCUGACUGGUAGACCUAUUAAGGAAAACAUGAUGAUACG